CUCGGGAUUCAUCCAUGAUGUAGCAUUCGUGAGUUUCCCUCCUUUCAAGCUGACAGUCCCUCUUGUAUCGCAGGAAAGCCUCGUUGAGCAGGAACUGUUCGCAAAGAAUGUGAUCAGAAGACAUCAGGAGAUGAUAGGCAACAUCUGCACUAUACCUCUUCACUGAUGGCCGUCAAUGCACACUGUGUUUGUGAAAACAAGUAUGUGAAGGCACAGCCCUGAACAAGAGACCUGAUGUACCUUGGAAAAUGCAUCAUCAACCAGUUGGAAUGUGCAGAUGCUAUCAUCACUCUGUGCUCCCUCAUGCCACUGAAUGUAACAUGUAAACAGGGGGGGAGUAGGGUACCUGAAACACCACAGCCAUUAGGCAGAACCCCAGAUUAA